rnacentral:rRNA from 1 species
UACGUAGGGAGCAAGCGUUGUCCGGAAUCAUUGGGCGUAAAGCGCGCGUAGGUGGCUCUAUAAGUCCGUUGUGAAAGUCAAAGGCUCAACCUUUGAAAGCCGAUGGAUACUGUGGAGCUAGAGUACGGAAGAGGCGAGUGGAAUUCCUGGUGUAGCGGUGGAAUGCGCAGAUAUCAGGAGGAACACCAAUAGCGAAGGCAGCUCGCUGGGACGUUACUGACACUGAGGCGCGAAAGCGUGGGGAGCGAACAGG